rnacentral:rRNA from 1 species
CCUACGAGCGGCAGCAGUGAGGAAUAUUGGGCAAUGGGGGCAACCCUGACCCAGCCAUGCAGCGUGAGUGAAGAAGGUCUUCGGAUUGUAAAGCUCUUUCGGACGUGACGAUGAUGACGGUAGCGUCUAAGGAAGCACGGGCAAACUUCGUUCCAGCAGCGGGGGUAAUACGAAGGGUGCGGGGGUUGUUCGGAAUGACUGGGCGUAAGGGGAGUGUAGGCGGAUAUGUAAGAUAGCGGUGAAAUGCCGGGGCUCAACCCCGGAACUGCCAUGAUGACUAUGUAUCUAGAGUAAUGGAGAGGAUAGCGGAAUACGCAGUGUAGAGGUGAAAUUCGUAGAUAUUGGGUAGAACACCGAUGGCGAAGGCGGCUAUCUG